rnacentral:rRNA from 1 species
CCUACGGGUGGCAGCAGUGAGGAAUAUUGGUCAAUGGUCGGGAGACUGAACCAGCCAAGCCGCGUGAGGGAUGAAGGUACAGAGUAUCGUAAACCUCUUUUGUCAGGGAACAAAGGCGGGGACGCGUCCCCGGAUGAGUGUACCUGAAGAAAAAGCAUCGGCUAACUCCGUGCCAGCAGCCGCGGUAAUACGGGGGAUGCGAGCGUUAUCCGGAUUUAUUGGGUUUAAAGGGUGCGCGGGCGGUCUGUUAAGUCAGCGGUAAAAGCCCGGGGCCCAACACCGGCCCGCCUUUGAAACUGGCAGUCUCGAGUUGGAGAGAGGUAGGCGGAAUGCGCGGUGUAGCGGUGAAAUGCAUAGAUAGCGCGAAGAACUCCGAUGGCGAAGGCAGCAUGCCGGCUCCACACUGACGCUGAGGCACGAAAGCGUGGGUAUCGAACAGGAUUAGAUACCCCAGUAGUC